rnacentral:rRNA from 2 species
AAACCAACAGGGAUUGCCUCAGUAACGGCGAGUGAAGCGGCAAAAGCUCAAAUUUGAAAUCCUUCGGGAGUUGUAAUUUGUAGGUUGGGAGACCCCGCGGCUAGUGGCACCAAGUCCCUUGGAACAGGGCGCCUUAGAGGGUGAGAGCCCCGUAGGUACCACAACACCGUCUUGUGUCUCCUCUCCAAAGAGUCGAGUUGUUUGGGAAUGCAGCUCAAAGUGGGUGGUAAAUUCCAUCUAAAGCUAAAUACCGGCGAGAGACCGAUAGCGAACAAGUACAGUGAUGGAAAGAUGAAAAGCACUUUGAAAAGAGAGUGAAACAGUACGUGAAAUUGUUGAAAGGGAAGGGCUUGCAAGCAGACACGGCCUUCGUGCCGGGCCAGCAUCGGUUGCUAGGGGUGGAUAAGGAACAAGGAAUGUAGCUCCUCGGAGUAUUAUAGCCUUGCGCGAUACACCCACUGGCGACCGAGGCCUGCGGUAUUCUUUACCUAGGAUGCUGGCGUAAUGGUUGCAAGCCGC